GAUGAACGCUGGCGGCGUGCUUAACACAUGCAAGUCGAGCGAAGCACUUUACUUAGAUUUCUUCGGGAUGAAGAGUUUUGUGACUGAGCGGCGGACGGGUGAGUAACGCGUGGGUAACCUGCCUCAUACAGGGGGAUAACAGUUAGAAAUGACUGCUAAUACCGCAUAAGACCACAGCACCGCAUGGUGCAGGGGUAAAAACUCCGGUGGUAUGAGAUGGACCCGCGUCUGAUUAGCUGGUUGGUGGGGUAACGGCCUACCAAGGCAACGAUCAGUAGCCGGCCUGAGAGGGCGACCGGCCACAGUGGGACUGAGACACGGCCCAAACUCCUACGGGAGGCAGCAGUGGGGAAUAUUGCACAAUGGGGGAAACCCUGAUGCAGCGACGCCGCGUGAAGGAAGAAGUAUUUCGGUAUGUAAACUUCUAUCAGCAGGGAAGAAAAUGACGGUACCUGACUAAGAAGCCCCGGCUAACUACGUGCCAGCCGCCGCGGUAC
rnacentral:rRNA from 1 species